rnacentral:rRNA from 1 species
CCUUUGAUCUAUUGAUGACCACCUGUGGCGAAGGCGGUCUACCAGAACACGUCCGACGGUGAGGGAUGAAAGCUGGGGGAGCAAACCGGAUUAGAUACCCGGGUAGUCCCAGCUGUAAACUAGCAAACUUAGUGAUGCAUUGACUUGUGGUCAAUGCAGUGCUGCAGGGAAGCCGUAAGUUGCCGCCUGGGAAGACGAGACA